GACGAACCGUGCGAACGUUGUUCGGAUUCACUGGGCUUAAAGGGCGCGUAGGCGGCUUGCCAAGUCAGGGGUGAAAUCUUUCGGCUCAACCGGAAAAGUGCUUCUGAUACUGGCGAGCUGGAGGGAGGUAGGGGCAGAUGGAACUUCCGGUGGAGCGGUGAAAUGCGUAGAUAUCGGAAGGAACGCCGGUGGCGAAAGCGAUCUGCUGGACCUCUUCUGACGCUGAGGCGCGAAAGCCAGGGGAGCAAACGGG
rnacentral:rRNA from 1 species